AAGUCGUAACAAGGUCUCCGUAGGUGAACCUGCGGAGGGAUCAUUAACACAUGUAUAUAUGUAUAUAUAUGUAUAUGGGCUUAGUACCAUAUGUAUGUAUAUAUAUAUAUCAUCCACACCUAUUCUCUAUCUACCUAUACCGUGAACACAUGUGACCCACCCCUCUACUUUUCAUUUUCAUUUCAGUCGGCUCGGUCGUUCAUUCGGUCGGCUCGGCUGAGAUGACUGUGAACUGUUGGAGGUUUUAUGUUAUCCAUACCUUUUCCAAGCUUCAGUUGUUUUUUUAUUUUGUUAGCUUGCCUAGCAGGCUAUACAGUAUAUACAAAAACCUGCUUUUUGAGCACAACUCUUAGCAACGGAUAUCUUGGUUCUC
rnacentral:misc_RNA from 1 species